rnacentral:lncRNA from 1 species
AUAUAUAUAGUAGGGCUACUAUACUCUUAUAAGUAUUAGACCCUUCGUACUCAUAUGUUGUUUUCGAUGAUGGGGCUUUCGAAUCGACGAUCCACUCCGUUAAAUAUGAUCUAGAGUAUUUAAAAUUUCUAAAAAAUAAAUUUUGUAAUUUUUCGAAAUCAUAAUAAAGUCCAUCAAACGGGCAUAAAGUGAAGGGUUAAAAUCGAACGACGUCCUAAAAAUGGAUGAUCGGAUCCUUUAAUUUAAGAUCAGAGUUAUUUCUUUAUUUAGGUAGUGAAUAGAAUUUUCUAUCAAAAAUUCAACCUAUUCUAAUUCUUUUACACCGUUAAACUAGCAAAUAUUCCAUACCGGUCGUUAAAAAUUAUCAAUUUUGUGAGCUUUUGAUCGUAAGGUAAAUGAUGUUGAAAAAUUAUGAAAUUUGAUUUUUUAGAAGUUUUAAAUAUUCUAGAUAAUGUUUAACGGUAUGGAUCGUCGAUUCGAAAAACUCUAUAAUCGAAAACAACUUAUGAGUAUGAGGGCGAUCGUACUGAUAAGAGUAUAGUAGCCGGACUAUAUAUAUAUAUAGUGCGUCUGGUACGCUUCUGGAAGCACGGAGCGCUCCGUGCUUCCAAGUUGUUUUCGAUAUUCGGACUUUCGAAUCGAUGAUCGGCUCCGCUAGACUUGAUCUAGAGUAUUUGAAGUAUCUAGAAAAUAAAUUUUGCAAUUUUUCGAUAUUAUUUGCCUAGUGAUCGAAGUGGCUCAAAAUCAACGGCUGAAAAUAAAAAUCUUACAAAAUAUGAUGAUAUGACAUUAAAAUUUUAGAUCAAAAUUAUCGAUCUUAUUUUAUAUGAUAUAAAAAAUUUUCUAUCAAAAUUUCAUGUGAUUUGGAUAUUUCUACACCGUUAAAAUUAUUGAUUUAUUAUUUACAAUUAUUAUUAAUAAAUAAUUAUAAAUAAUAAAUUAAUAAUAAUAUCGAUUAUCUAUUUAUUAAUAAUUAUUAAUUAAUAAUAAUAUCGAUUAUCUAAU